rnacentral:lncRNA from 1 species
AUGUUCAGUGCAUAGUGUCCCGCCGCGACCUGGGGCUUUUGUGUUCACCAAGCAGAAGUGCCACGGUGCCAAAGCGGUGCCGCAGACUCGUAGGCACAAGAGGGAUUCGUAGCCGGAAACAUGUUUGCGGUUUAUAGGACUAUCUGUGUGGUGGUCCUUCUCGUGGUGCUUCCUGGGCCAAGCACAGCUGUUCUCAAUGACAGGCCCAGGAUGCGCUGCGACGACGGCCACCUGUACCUGGAGGGCAGCCCAGGGAAGAACAUCAGCCUCGUCACCAAGGGCAAGGGCGCCGUUGUUAUCAAUGGCUUAGAUCUGGCUGGAUCCAUCUCGCUGGUGAGUACUGGCCAUGACUUAAAAGU